rnacentral:rRNA from 1 species
GAUGAACGCUGGCGGCGUGCCUAAUACAUGCAAGUCGAGCGAACAGACGAGGAGCUUGCUCCUCUGACGUUAGCGGCGGACGGGUGAGUAACACGUGGAUAACCUACCUAUAAGACUGGGAUAACUUCGGGAAACCGGAGCUAAUACCGGAUAAUAUAUUGAACCGCAUGGUUCAAUAGUGAAAGACGGUUUUGCUGUCACUUAUAGAUGGAUCCGCGCCGCAUUAGCUAGUUGGUAAGGUAACGGCUUACCAAGGCGACGAUGCGUAGCCGACCUGAGAGGGUGAUCGGCCACACUGGAACUGAGACACGGUCCAGACUCCUACGGGAGACAGCAGUAGGGAAUCUUCCGCAAUGGGCGAAAGCCUGACGGGGCAACGCCGCGUGAGUGAUGAAGGUCUUCGGAUCGUAAAACUCUGUUAUUAGGGAAGAACAAAUGUGUAAGUAACUAUGCACGUCUUGACGGUACCUAAUCAGAAAGCCACGGCUAACUACGUG